rnacentral:misc_RNA from 1 species
GAAUGAGCCAUUGCCCAGUUUGCCACCAUCAUCGUGUAUUAUUAUUCACUCGAGACCAGGAAGCCUGACAAGAUAUGGAGUUUCAAGUCCCAAAGAACGAAGGGCCCCAGCUGCAUCACCAUGAUAACCCAGCAACAGAUAUCUUUCAUUAAAUUAGAAUGCCCUAAUUUCAAAAUGACACCUUGUUAGAUUCCUCAUCUUGCAGAUCUAUAUUAUACUUUAUGGAGGGUGGCGGUGGAGAUGAUAUGAUUCUUUCGUCUAAUCAGAUAG